rnacentral:rRNA from 1 species
UACAGAGGGUGCGAGCGUUAAUCGGAGUUACUGGGCGUAAAGGGCGCGUAGGCGGUUGUUUAAGUGAGAUGUGAAAUCCCUGGGCUUAACCUAGGAACUGCAUCUCAUACUGGGCAGCUAGAGUAUUGUAGAGGGUAGUGGAAUUUCCGGUGUAGCGGUGAAAUGCGUAGAGAUCGGAAGGAACACCAGUGGCGAAGGCGGCUACCUGGACAAAUACUGACGCUGAGGCGCGAAAGCGUGGGGAGCAAACAGG